rnacentral:lncRNA from 10 species
CCCCGUCUCUACUGAAAAUACAAAAAUUAGCCAGGCAUGAUGAUGCGCUCCUGUAGUCCCAGCUACUCAGGAGGCUGAGGGAGGAGAAUCGCUUGAAGCCUGGAGGCAGAGGUUGCAGUGAGCUAGACUGCGCCACUGCACUCCAGCCUGGGCGACAGAGCAAAACCCUGUCUCAAAAAAAAAAAAACCCAUGAAUCUCCGCAGAUGUGUCCUUCCUUGUUGAACAGGGCCCUCGGAUGCACAUAGCUGUGUCCUUGCCCUAAGGUAACGUUAAAUUGAGUUGUGUUGCGGCCUUGCAUGCAUUUGGAAUUUAGUGUUUUCUGCAGGAGAAAGAAUGAGCCUGGGAAGACUGUUCUUUUCGACUCCCUCGUAAGUUAAAGACUUUAGAAGUCAUUUAGGGAAAAAGUAGUUCUGAAUUGCUAAAAGAAAUCCGAUCCCAGGGCUUGACGGGGUAGACACUGAACAUGCAGCUGACCCCAGAAGCUCCUCUCCGGAACGCCUGCAGUUAGGCAGCGCCCUCCUAGGCCACUCUCCACCCUGGACUUCCUCUCCGCGGUGGUGUUUGUUUCAAUGCUGCCGUAAUGAAACUGCAGUUUGGUGAG